CUGUUGUAGCAAAGGGGGGAGGUUAAACUUCCCUUGACAAGGAUGCGAGAGGCCCUCAGCCUAAACAAGAAACACAUGGUUAAGGCAUCACCACUCUCUGUGAUCUCACCCUGGGUUUUC